CCGAUAUAGCUCAAUUGGUAGAGCAGCUGAUUUGUAAUCAGCAGGUCUCCGGUUCAAGUCCGGUCAUCA
rnacentral:tRNA from 1 species